rnacentral:rRNA from 1 species
UGGGGAAUAUUGGACAAUGGGCGGAAGCCUGAUCCAGCCAUGCCGCGUGUGUGAAGAAGGCCUUUUGGUUGUAAAGCACUUUAAGCGAGGAGGAGGCUACUUGGAUUAAUACUCUAGGAUAGUGGACGUUACUCGCAGAAUAAGCACCGGCUAACUCUGUGCCAGCAGCCGCGGUAAUACAGAGGGUGCGAGCGUUAAUCGGAUUUACUGGGCGUAAAGCGUGCGUAGGCGGCUUCUUAAGUCGGAUGUGAAAUCCCUGAGCUUAACUUAGGAAUUGUAUUCGAUACUGGGAAGCUAGAGUAUGGGAGAGGAUGGUAGAAUUCCAGGUGUAGCGGUGAAAUGCGUAGAGAUCUGGAGGAAUACCGAUGGCGAAGGCAGCCAUCUGGCCUAAUACUGACGCUGAGGUACGAAAGCAUGGGGAGCAAACAGG